rnacentral:rRNA from 1 species
UACGCAGGCGGCUUGGUAAGACAGGCGUGAAAUCCCCGGGCUUAACCUGGGAACUGCGCUUGUGACUGCCAGGCUAGAGUCUGUCAGAGGGGGGUGGAAUUCCACGUGUAGCAGUGAAAUGCGUAGAGAUGUGGAGGAACACCGAUGGCGAAGGCAGCCCCCUGGGAUAAGACUGACGCUCAUGUACGAAAGCGUGGGGAGCAAACAGGAUUAGAUACCCUGGUAGUCCACGCCCUAAACGAUGUCGACUAGUUGUCGGGGAUUAACUUCCUCGGUAACGCAGCUAACGCGUGAAGUCGACCGCCUGGGGAGUACGGUCGCAAGAUUAAA